rfam:Streptomyces sp. C genomic scaffold supercont1.1, whole genome shotgun sequence.
CCCCCUCGCGACCGCUGGGGGGAACUGACACCGGUACCUGACACGGCCGGUGCAG